rnacentral:snoRNA from 1 species
AAGCCCCUCUCUUUGGCCGGAUUAAUUUAAUUGUAAUUAAUGCCGAUUAUGCGAGAGGAGGCAGAUCAGAAUAUGGUGGGAAUUCGCCUUCGGUGCCCAUAACGGUCUCUUAAAUCCGCGGGAUUACUAUCAUCCUUGUUUCUCACCACA